rnacentral:rRNA from 1 species
ACCUAAUAGAUACCCCGGUAGUCCACGCCCUAAACGAUGCGAACUGGAUGUUGGGUACAUUACGGUACUCAGUGUCGUAGCUAAACGCGUUAAGUUCGCCGCCUGGGGAGUACGGUCGCAAGACUGAAACUCAAAGGAAUUGACGGGGGCCCGCACAAGCGGUGGAGUAUGUGGUUUAAUUCGAUGCAACGCGAAGAACCUUACCUGGCCUUGACAUCUGUCGAAUCCUGCAGAGAUGCGGGAGUGCCGCAAGGAACGACAAGACAGGUGCUGCAUGGCUGUCGUCAGCUCGUGUCGUGAGAUGUUGGGUUAAGUCCCGCAACGAGCGCAACCCUUGUCCCUAGUUGCCAGCACAUCAUGGUGGGAACUCUAGGGAGACUGCCGGUGACAAACCGGAGGAAGGUGGGGAUGACGUCAAGUCCUCAUGGCCCUUACGGCCAGGGCUACACACGUACUACAAUGGUCGGUACAGAGGGUUGCGAAGCCGCGAGGCGAAGCCAAUCCCAGAAAACCCGAUCCCGAGUCCGGAUUGGAGU